GGCCUGUUGAGAUUGCAUCCGGAGAGUGGCUAGUAUUCCGCCAGCUUCAGAAGCGGGAGGGAGAGCAAGCUUAGCAGAGGAACCCAUUCCAUUCCCAGUAUGCUCAGUAGCUGGUGAUUGGAAGACACCCUGCAGCAUCA